rnacentral:rRNA from 1 species
AGUGAACGCUGGCGGUAGGCCUAACACAUGCAAGUCGAACGGCAGCACAGUAAGAGCUUGCUCUUACGGGUGGCGAGUGGCGGACGGGUGAGGAAUACAUCGGAAUCUACUUUUUCGUGGGGGAUAACGUAGGUAAACUUACGCUAAUACCGCAUACGACCUACGGGUGAAAGCAGGGGAUCUUCUGACCUUGCGCGAUUGAAUGAGCCGAUGUCGGAUUAGCUAGUUGGCGGGGUAAAGGCCCACCAAGGCGACGAUCCGUAGCUGGUCUGAGAGGAUGAUCGGCCACACUGGAACUGAGACACGGUCAAGACUCCUACGGGAGGCAGCAGUGGGGAAUAUUGGACAAUGGGCGCAAGCCUGAUCCAGCGAUACCGCGUGGGUGAAGAAGGCCUUCGGGUUGUAAAGACCUUUUGUUGGGAAAGAAAAGCAGCAGGUUAAUACCCCGCUGUUCUGACGGUACCCAAAGAAUAAGCACCGGCUAACUUCGUG